GACGAACGCUGGCGGCGUGCCUAAUACAUGCAAGUCGAGCGGACGAAUCGAAAGCUUGCUUUUGAUUCGUUAGCGGCGGACGGGUGAGUAACACGUGGGCAACCUGCCCUGUAGACGGGGAUAACACCGAGAAAUCGGUGCUAAUACCGGAUAACACGAAAUGUCGCAUGACGUUUCGUUGAAAGACGGCGCAAGCUGCCGCUACAGGAUGGGCCCGCGGCGCAUUAGCUAGUUGGUGAGGUAACGGCUCACCAAGGCGACGAUACGUAGCCGACCUGAGAGGGUGAUCGGCCACACUGGGACUGAGACACGGCCCAGACUCCUACGGGAGGCAGCAGUAGGGAAUCAUCCGCAAUGGACGAAAGUCUGACGGAGCAACGCCGCGUGAGCGAAGAAGGCCUUCGGGUCGUAAAGCUCUGUUGUUAGGGAAGAACAAGUAACGCAGUAACUGGCGUUACCGUGACGGUACCUAACGAGAAAGCCACGGCUAACUACGUG
rnacentral:rRNA from 1 species